CAAAGGCAAGAGCAGAGCGCUAGGGAUUUAGAACAAUUGGCAUUGUUAAAGGUAACAGGGAGAGCUUUCAUUCAAAACAUGCUACAUAUCCCACAUAUGCUGGUGUAGCUCCCAGCACUGGUAGUGGUAAAUGAUGUAUAAAAGGAGUGAAUGCUGAGAUGUAACCACACAUAAAGAAAAGGAAUUCCCUGAUGGUGGGGCACAGCUGCUUUUACAAAGAAAGCAGAAAUAAACUGAUGUUAGACACCAAAAGUAAAAGAAAUCAUUGCCUCUCUAGACUGUCAGGUCUACGAUCCACAAAUAAGGAGGAAUUCAUGCCAAGAAUUAGAAUAGGUGGCUCAGAUGGAUUCAGGGCAGAUAAGUACUGCUCAGCAGAGGGCAUAAUCUCCCAUUACUGCGUGAUGUAUGCACUGAGAGUAGAAAAAGAUGGAAUAACCACUAGAGAGAAGAGCCAGUGACACGACGUAAUGUACGUAUCACCAGUAAGAACAUUUUAGAACUGGACUAUAGCACUCACUCAUACUGAUUCAUAUUUGCUUGUUAAAGAAACCCAGUACGGAUGUAUGGUAUCUUAUGCUUAUAUUGAGCAAGCACAAUUAUAUAGAUAUUUUGUUCAAAAUAAGAUAUUCAAGUGGGAAGAUUUUCUUUAUGUUGAAAUGAAAUUUUUCAUACAUCAUGUUCAAAAGCCUGAAAAACCAGGCAUACAUUUGUGAUUCAAGUUAAAGAGAACUGCAAAUAAAGAGGAUAUUAGGAUCUUAAACUAUUAAUGUCUUGGACAUUAAAAUAUAGCUUAUCAGUGACUUUUAAGUUCUACUAAUUUGGCCCAUGAGAUUUUGCACAAGCAAACAUGGGAAAGAAAAAUUUCUAUGUUAUAGAAGUAAUGUGGGGUUUGUUUUUUCAUCUUUAUGUCUCACCUUUUUAUGCAUCUUUGUAGCUAAAUUUACAUCUUUAUAUCUUUGUAAAAAUUUUAUCACCACAGUAUAAUUCAUUAAACUGGAUCACUCAUUUUGUGGUACUUUUUUAAUUUAGGCAGAAGAAGCAAUUAAAUGUGCAUACCUUUAGAUGUUCUUUGGUUGCCAUUUUGAUUUUUAAACAGGACACAAAUUAAAGAUAUGUCAGGGUUUCUGAUUUGGAUCAAAACCACAACAAAUGGAUUAGACGAUGAAGGAGCUCAGGAUAAAGCUAGUAAUUCACUUCUCUGUCUGAUUUUUGGAGUACAAAAGAAACACAAUCAACUCAAACCCAGAAUGAAAUAGUUUGGCUAUUUCAUCUUGUAUCUGAUAUGAUCUCUUCUCAAUUUGCAAAGCAACAUUACUUUUCCUUGCACAGCAUUGCUGUUCAUUCACUGCUAAGCCAUUUUUUUUUAUUUAUUUCUGUGUUAGAGACAUUUAAGUUCUGAGUCCAAUAUUUCAUCAGAAUCAUUCCUAUUAUUACCAUUCAUAAAACAUGGGAGGCCAUACAUUAAUGUGAAAUAUACUUUUCAGCAUGAGACUGAAACUUCAUGAAAUUACACAUACACACACACACAGAAAGAAAAUAAAAUCAGGAAAUAUAGCACAUGCUGUGCCAACAGCCCUUCUCCAAGGAUCCAUACUGUUUGGAGAUUUCUUUCAAACUGUUUUUCUUUUCUUUUCUUUUCUUUUCUUUUCUUUUCUUUUCUUUUCUUUUCUUUUCUUUUCUUUUCUUUUCUUUUCUUUUCUUUUCUUUUCUUUUCUU
rnacentral:lncRNA from 1 species